rnacentral:lncRNA from 1 species
UGUUCUUCCUGCCUCUGAGAUGUUGGCCCAUGGAAUUACAAUUCUCUUUCUCCAAAAAACGAAGGAAUGCCUCAGUUCAUGAACACUUCUAUUUGAAAACAGUUAGGCUUUGCUUCUCUUCAAGAACUCUGCAUCAGCUGAUGAACAUAGCUGCAGCCAUCUCCCCCAGAAUCAUGGAACAAAUUCAGUUCAUGAACCGAGG